AUGUCGGUCGGUCCGUCAGUCGGUCCGUCCACCAGAUGGUUUCCGGAUGAUAACUCUAGAACGCUUAGGCCUAGGAUCAUGAAACUUCAUAGGUACAUUUAUCAUGACUGGCAGAUGACCCCUAUUGAUUUUCAGGUCACUAGGUCAAAGGUCAAGGUCACAGUGACUCGAAAUAGUAAAAUGGUUUCCGGAUGAUAACUCAAUAAUGCUUAGGCCUAGGAUCAUGAAACUUCAUAGGUACAUUGAUCAUGACUGGUAGAUGACCCCUAUUGAUUUUCAGGUCACUAGGUCAAAGGUCAAGGUCACAGUGACUCAAAAUAGUAAAAUGGUUUCCGGAUGAUAACUCAAGAAUGUUUACGCCUAGGAUCAUGAAACUUCAUAGGUACAUUGAUCAUGACUGGCAGAUGACCCCUAUUGAUUUUCA